rnacentral:sRNA from 1 species
UCAGCUCUGCAGACUGAAGUCCUCUGUUUAUCCACAGGGCAGAAAAAGCAUGGGCAACGGUAGUGUUAAUUCCCUGUACACCACCCCACCAAUGCCACCUCAGCUCUAACCUGAUCAGUCCCCCCUUGAUCAGUGCUUAAUUUGUGCCACAGCUUGCCAGGACUGAACCUCGACACCU